rnacentral:lncRNA from 10 species
UUUUUUUUUUUUUGGUUGGAGUAGUUAGUCAUUAGUACAGAAGUGUUUGGUCACGAGCAGGAAAGAAUGAAAAUGUAAAAUUCAGUGGGCUUCAUUUCCAUGGUUGUGGUGUGAAAUUUGUGGGGGAGAUUCCGGAGUGAGGUAUGCCCCAGGUACUCACCUGAAAAAGGGUUCCAGGUACAUGGUGUGUCCGCAGCAUCCCUGGCCCCAUCCUUUCUGUCCUGGAAUUCUGUGUUUGUGGAUAUAUUAGUCAGGACAGGCUAGUUUAGUUUAUGCUACAGCAACAAGUGGCUCCCAAAUCUUAGUGACUUAGAGACUGACAGAUCUUCUCCACCACAUCCUUUGCCGAUUGGCUGUUGCUCUGCUUCCAGUCAUCCUGCUGGAGCAGUCUCUCCCUGGAACACUUGGUCACUGUGGCAGAAGGAAAGGAAAAAUGGUGAACCACUUCCUGGCUCGAAAAGCUUCUGUGUGGAAGUGACACACAUCUCUUCUGUCUACAUUUCAGAAGGGAUGGGGCCAGGGAUGCUGAGGACACACCAUGUACCCUUUUUCAGCAAUAUAUUGGAACAUUUCCUCAUAGUGUUUUUUUUCUUCGGCAUAUAAUUAAGUAGCCGCUUCCCCAACCCCCAUACAUGAGUAUUCCAUGGUGUGUAUGUACCACAUUUUCUUUCUCCAAGAGGAUAAAAUUUCUGAUGACAGCAUUAAACAACCCAUGUGAAAAUGAAGAUGAUUUGUGAAGACUGUCAGAUGCUUCACUCUGAGGUUCUGAGCCUGUUCCUAAGGAGAACAAUUCUAUUGAAGCUUCAUUUCUUUUCUUCCAGGAUGGAGCUUCCAGGAUAGAGCUUCUUUUUUCCUCAUGGCCUUGACCACCUAGAAUGCCACUAGAAUGGAGGUGAAACUGCGGCCAUAUCCAGUAACAGAGUCUACUGCAUCAUAUUAACUGAUAAACCCAGGAUGACAAGAGAAACAUGGGACUCACUCUUCAUUUGCAUUGACUCCAGCUAAGAGCUUCAGUUUUCAUGCUUUGCUUCAGAAUUAUUGUGGUCUGAUGCAGAACUGAAAAGGCCAACACGAGAAUCUUCAAGUACAAUUGCCUGGGAAUCCUGAGGUCUGGACAGCAACACCUGAAUCUGAAUCUCUUUUGGGUUGAAUCAUAAAAGAAAAUAGUAUGGAGAGAUUUAAGGCCAGGCCUCUGGAGAAGGAUGAGUAAAUUGAAGCCCAGAAAGGCCAAGAAACUUGAACCAUUUAGGUGAAGAAGAGUGCUCACCAGAUUCCCUUCUGGUCUGGAAAAAGAAAUCCCUUCUUUUGUGGAUGUCAUCUCUACCAUCUCUCGGUGAAAAAUAUUUCAAGAGAAUCCUAAGAUGGAGAGAGCAUUGGAAGUCAUCCGGCCCAAUUCCCUUGUGCAAUUCAAAGCUUCUUUGUAAGAAAAAUGCCCCCAGAAGUUUGUUUGCAUCAUGAAGAUCAGAUUUUGAGGAUCCAGUCUGGCUCUUCCCUGUACAAAACAUUCCUCACAAACAGAAUAUGGACAAUUGUUAAAUGUCAAAGGUAAAGUUAUUGUGGGAACUCCUUCAAAAAGUUCAAGUGAGAGCCCAUUCUAUGAAUGACCAUUUACAUCUAAUUUUUUUCUGUGCUAUGUUACUUAUUCUGAAGUGGUUGAUCCAAUUCCUAAAAGGGAAUAUUUCAUUACCUUUUAUUUCCUAUAGCAUCCAUUCUGACCCCUUUUCGGUUUAAUUAUUCCCUGAUUCCAGUCUUCAUUCACUCAUUUAUUUGAGGAAUAUUUAUUGACCAACAACUAUGCCAGGUCCCAUUCUAUGUGUAGGGACUAUAAAGUUGAACAAGACAGAGGAGGUACUGGCCUCAGAAUUUACAUUCUAGUAGAUGAGAAAGUAAAAAUAAACACAUGAAAACAUGAAUGAACCGGAUAUUGUAGACUGUGAUAGGUGUAGUUUGGGUAAAGCACAGAGUGCAGUAGUAAAGAUAAACUGCACUCAGAGUGGGGCUAUUUUAGAUGGAAUGGAGAUCUCUGAGGAAAUGAAAUUUGAGCUGAGACCUAAAAGGUCACCCAAGGACUCAUGGGAAAACUCAGUUGUUUCUAUCAAAAUUUAGCUUCAUGAACUCCAGGCCCUUGCAAAUGAUGGUUACCAGGUGAGAAAUGUCUCACUGGCAACAGAGGUUGGCAGACCCAGCUCCAGUUCCAUCCCAGCCAACAUACCAAUGUCAUUAAAAUAAGGCCAUUCAUCAAGGUGGAGACUAUUACUAGAAACAAGCAUUCUAAAGUGCCAUUUGAGUGCCAGGCUCUCAACACUGGGCGUAGCACUGCUCCAUGAGGCUUUUGAGAGCAUAUACUGAGGCAUGACCAAAAAAAUUAAGUCCCAUGUAAGUGAUGCAACUGCUCCCCAAUUACUGUGGAAGUAUCUGCAGACUAACUAUUGUGCGUGUGUGUUUGUUUGCUUUAAUGAAUAAAUUCAGUCAACCAACCAUCUAGCUAUUGACUAAAUCCAUUCUUUUUCUUCCAAAAUGUCUAUUGGCUGAAGUUUACUGGUUUUUAUUUCUAUUCGCAUACGUAAUUUUCUAAACCCCAUUCUUAUGGAACCUUCUCUAAGUUCCUCUCUAUGGCCCUGUCCAUGUUCAUACGGAUACACAUAAAGACACAAAUACACCAAACUAAGUUUAGAGCAGUCUGGUGCCUGCCUAAGACUUCAGCCUCAUCUCCUGCUUCUACCCUCUUUAGUUUAGGAAAAACAGGUAACGUUGCUGAGUGCCAAGUAUUGUGUUAGUAGCUUUGCAUGCAUUUUUUCAUUUUAUCUUCACAAGUUUCUUCUAUCACCAUGAUCUGUAUGUUUGACCAUGGUGUUUCCUCCACCUGAAAUUCCCUUGGUGCUCUGCCUGGGGAACUGUUACUCAUUCUUCAAAUCUCAACGGAAUGAUCUCCUCCUCUGGAAAGCUCUCCCUACUUCCCUAGGAAGAAGUAAUCCCUUCCUCAGUUCUGCUUUGAUUAUAACUUUAUAAGCACCUAUCACUCUGCAUGGUAUUAGUUCACUGUCAUGUCCAUUUCCUCUAUUGGGAUGUAAAUUGCUUAUGGGUAAUAAUUAGGCUUUGAAUCAUUUUAUGAUCUGGCCUAAGACAGUGCUUGGCACAUACUAUAGGCUCAUCAGAUGAUGGCUGAGUAGAAUUAAAUUGAAUCAAGUUGAAGUUAUACUUUGAUGUUUAUCAAUUAACAUGUGUAGUGUGUUAAAUGGUGGUCACUGAAAACAUACGUCUGCACCCUAAUUCCUGGAACCUGUGAAUAUAACCUUACAUGUUAAGAAGAAAUAUGACCUUAAAUGGAUAUGGAGACAAGGAGCUUAUCCUGGAUUGUCUGAGAGGGCCCUAGAUGCAAUCGCAUGUAUUCUGAUAAGUGGAGAGAAACAGAAGAGGAGGAUGCAAUGUGACCAUGUAGGCAGAAGUUUGAAUGGUGCAGCCACAAGCCAAGGAGCCCCUGGGGCCAUCAGAAGCUGGAAGAAGCAAGGAAUGGAUUCCUUCCUAGUGUUUGGAAGGAGUGUGCACUUGCCAACACCUUGGUUUGAGACUUCUGGCCUCUGGAACUGUGACAGAAUAAAUAUCUGUUGUUUUGAGCCACCCAAUUGUUGCUAAUUUGUUAAAGCAACCUUAGAAAAUUAAUAUAGCAUCCACAAUAAAAUUUCUCAAAAUAUAUGUUCCUGUGAAAUGGAAGAGUUCUAGGGAUCUAGUAGCAUAUACGGAACCCAGAUAAGUUAUACAAGUUUUUCCCUGAAAGUCUUUUCAGAUUCUUUAGCGGGCUAAGGUGCAUUGUGAAUCCCAAAAACUUUAGCGUUUUUCAGCAUCUAUUAUCACAUAAUCCUUUCCCCACCCAUGGAAUUAUAUACUAAACUGUUUUUGUAGAUGUUGAUGUUCUGUAGAACAGAGUUUUGGGGUCUGUAUGACUUAAGAUCCUUCUACAAUGGAACACAGUGAGGAGGGUAUUCAGAGGAGUCAUAGAGGGCAUUGAUCUUGCAAUAUAUACUCAGGAAAUUACCAUGGGCAGAAUAAAAUGCUUUUGAAAAUAUUUAAUGUUUGCUUGGCAUUGUUUCUCUUGGGUUUAGCUUUGCAAAAUUUUCCUCAGGUAUCAUUUUUCUUGUUGCCAUGGAGCCAAUUCACUUCCCAAGGCAAGUUGGUGAUUGGCCUAAGGGAAACUAUUGAGAAAAAAUGGACAGCUCAAGAUGUGGUUUGAAACAUUGAUGUUCUUUCUUGGUGCACUUAACUCUUCUCUCUGCUAUUAUUUUUCUUCUUCACUCUCCUGGAAUCUCCCUCUUUCCCAGUGUAAGUGAGAGUCUAAUAGCUCAUGAUGCAGCUUGGUUUGUUGUGUAUUGAAGUGACCGUAGCUGCAUUUGUUUUGGCAAACCCAUCAUCAUUUGUCUGAGGCAUAACAAUGGCCUCUUUAUUGAUGGUUUAAUCCAGUUCCUGAGGCUGGAUUAAAUAAAUGAGACAAUUGAACCUCAGAUAGGUAAGUGACUUGGCCUUGGUCACCUAGCAAGGCACUGCUAGCCAGACACACAAUCUCACUUAGUAAUUUCUGUCUAGUGCCUCCUACUAGACAGGCCAAGGCCCAGGGCACUGCACUCUGCAUGGGGUGGAAGUAGGGUGUAGCAUUGGAAUGGAGGUAGUGGUAGAAUGCAGUACUUAAAGCCAAGGAGAGAACACUAAAGAAUCCAUAGCCCCAGGAGAAGUAAAGUCAAAGGGAACCAAAAUCCAAAGGCAGUAAUCACCGAGAGGGACUCAGGAGUGAGAGAAAAUUCAUGGACAAGUGGCAGGUCAGAAGCCAGGGAAGUCAGGGCUGCCAGAAAUUUGCAAGCAGCAGGCAGGACCCCUAGUCUUUAUACAACCCUGGUCUUUCUGUAAAAGGCUGGAAAAAAACAGCUUUUUCAAACAUGCUAUAUUCAAAUGUGCCAUAAUUGUUCUGUUUUGAGAAACCAGAAUGGUCUGGCUUUUGUGCAGAAAUAAGGAGAAUAUCAUCCUUUGCUGCUCAAUGAUAAAUGUAUUGCCUGAACCUGAGCCUGGAAGACACUGCCCUACAUGUGCCCAAUGUCUCACAAUGCUUCCUUUGGGCAGUUUAGUUUGGUGUGUGACCUCUGACCUCAAAGUAUCUGAAUAGAAAACAUAACCACACUAGUUCACGCUACCUAUUCCUCUUUCCUCCAAGCAAGUACACUGAAAAUGCUAAGUCCAAACUGUGAAAGAUCUGAGAUAUUACUGUAUUUGCAAGCUACAAAGUUAGCCCUCCACAAUAUGUAUAUAUGCUUAUGUAUAUAUAUUUAUGUGUGUGUGUGCAUGCACACAUGUGUGAGGUGUGUAAUAUAUAUAUAACUUUAUAUCUGACCAAGUUUUGCAUGCCACGUUCUCACAAAGCAACACAAUGAGGGCUUGAUGUCACUGCAUGUGCAGUGGCGUUGGCUCUACAGGAGAAGAGGAACCCUGAAGUUAUAAAGUUUGGAAGUUUAUGGGACAUCCAUCCAUGUUUUCUUCUGGAAAGAGGAAGAAAUAAAUACUUUACUCUUGAAUGGAAAAAAAAAUAUUUUUGUGGAGAAGAGGGGAGGGUUUUUAUUUUGCCACCCUAGACUGUAAACAAACGGUUUCAGGGACAGAAAAAUCCUGAGGUCUCUAUCUUUAGGUUUCAUACUAUGGUCCAAAUAUGUGUGUAUCCUCAAAAUUCAUGCGCUGAAAUCCUAAUCCUAAAGUGACAGUAUUAGAAAGUGGGGCCUUUGGGAGGUGAUUAGAGGAUGAAGGUGGAGGCCUCAUGAAUGGGAUUAGAGUCUUUAUAAAAGGACCUGAAGGAGCUUUUUUACCCUGCCACCAUGUGAGGACACAGUGAGAAGGCACCAUCUAUGAACCAGAAAGCAGAUGCCCUAACCAGACACUGAAUAUGCUGGCGCCUUGAUCUUGGACUCAGCACACAGAACUGUGAGAAAUAAAUUUCUAUUGUUUGUAAGCUACCCAGUCUAUGGUACUUUCUUAUAGCAUCCCAAAUGGACUAAAACAUUUGAUAUUCAGUCAAAUGUUCUUUGUUCAGUGUUGUUUGUUCAUAAAGCUCUGACCAUGAGGAAACAUGAAAAUAUUUGUGGAGCACUGUCUCCCAAUACCAAAACUCAUCGUUUCUCUCUUAAAAAUAAAGGCAUUUCCAGAACAUCAAUAGAUGCUGGGGUAAGUAAAGGAAGGAGAGAAAAAGAAUGAAAAAGGAAUGAAGCUAUUGUACAUAUGAGCAGUGCCUGGGUUCUAGUUAAAUGAGCCUAAAAUGCCUGUUGCUAUCAUGAUAAGUUACACACAUGUCAAUGUGAACUCUCACUAACCAAGGAGAAAACUGAGAUAACUCUUAUUUUCCUCUCUCCCCUCCCCUCCCCUCCCCUCUCCCUCCCUCCCUUCCUUCCUUCUUUCCUUCCUUUUCUCUUUGUUCUUUCUUUCUUUUGAUUUCUUUCUUUUUCUUUCUUUCUUCUUGCUUCUCUAUUUCUUCCUUUCUUUUUCUUUCUUUCUUCUUUCCUUCUCUCUCUAUUUCUUCCUUCUUUCUGCAUCAGAUGGUUAACAAAAUAGACACAGUCUUGGAGCAAGUCUAGAGUGGCACA